rnacentral:rRNA from 1 species
GUCCACGCUGUAAACGAUGGGUGCUAGUUAUUGGGGCUUUAAGCUUCGGUGACGUAGUUAACGCGUUAAGCACCCCGCCUGGGGGAGUACGGUCGCAAGAUUAAAACUCAAAGGAAUUGACGGGGACCCGCACAAGCGGUGGAGCAUGUGGUUUAAUUCGAUGCAACGCGAAAAACCUUACCACCUUUUGACAUCCCUCUCAUCGGUCAUGUAAUGUGACCUUCGGUUCGGCCGGAGAGGAGACAGGUGUUGCAUGGCUGUCGU